UUUCGAAGCCACCGUUAAGGAUUAAGAAUCUCCACCAGAAUCGCCGAUCCCGCCGGAGAAGGACGCCGUCGGUGACAAGGAGGAGGUCGACGUGCGGUCGCAACCGCCAUCGGAGGGAGGGGAAAGGAGGAAGAGGAGGAGGAGAGAAUGGGGGAGCUCGGCAAAUUUCCCUCCAGCGGUGACCCAAGACGGCCAAGGCGCACUAGAAUAGUCAUGAUGGAAAGAAAAGAGAGUGGGUCCCUCAGGCCUUGUUGCACCAGGGAAGCAUAUAGAAGACUGAAGAAUGGAUAUCAAGGCUUUUCUAAUAGAGGAGUUUAGAUCAUUAUUGAAUGGAUUUAUCAGGUUUUUGUCUAGCAACCUUUCUUUUAAAGUAAUGUCAGGCCUACAUUUGCUUGUGCUUGAUGGCUUCUGCUUACGAUUGCUACAUCUUUUGUGGCAUUGGUCUACAAAUGCUUGGUUUAUGCAUAUUUGAUGAUUUCUUCUCAUAUGUAUCUAUUGGAGUAAAAUGCAAGACCAAAUAUUAGUAGAAUGUUGUUUCAGAAAAUGUGAAACUUGUCUUUUUGCA